CCUGCUGCAGAGCCAGCUCACUGUGCCGAGCCACGCCACCCCACGCUGUCCGCAGCCCCGCCCUAGGGCUCCCAGGUCCUUGCAGCCUCCAGUGCUCCACCCCCAGCACCGCUGCCUUUGUAGCUCUCCGCCCUCCCUCCAGACCUGCGACUGCUCAGCGCCGCCCCCUCUCUGCCGGCUUGAGGCUGAAGCCCUCCACUGGUUCGGCAGGUAUCAUUAACUCAUCCCGGGUCCAGCUGCUGCAGAAUGGCUGUAGUGGGAGGGCCAGACUUGCUUCACCCCACUGAUGCAGUCCCACGGAUAGGAACCCUCUCUCCACGAAGUUCCACACCUUCCAAGUGCCUGUCCCACCUGUUCAGCUUGUUCCUAGUGUGUACAAAGACGGAGUGGCCUGGAAGGUUCAACCAAAUCCAGCCCAAAGCCAGAUCGGCUCUGGAGAUGCAGGGCGGUGUUUAGUCACCUAUGCAAAGGCGAGGGCAAAAGAGCCAAAAUCCCACAUUGCAGUGUGAAGCUCAACCACGGUGUUGAGUAGGUUAAGCACAACACUACAAAUGACUACAGAUGACGAUGUGCAGACCGAAUGCAGGCACUGACAGAGGGAAAAGAAGGCAGCCUGUGCAGUUGCCUGGAAGAGCCCAACACUGGCACCCUUCAAGCCAUGGGGACUGCGGUGCAAAGGGGAAGAAGUGGCACUUCUUCUGCCACCUUCAGUGAGCCGCCAGGGGACUGACUUCCCUAUUUGUCAGCCUUAGAUGAACAAACUUGGCAUGCAAGGAAGCAAGCCCCGCUGAUUCAGGAAGAAAGCACUGUGGGAAACCUUAAAGGGACUCCUGUGGCUUCUGUCUGCUCUCAGGAGAGGCAAGGAUCAGAUCUUGGGGGUAAAUAUUCUGAGCCUGCCUUGAGGAAGCAAUACUACAUGUAGUUGGUUUGACCUUCUCUGUUUACUCAGACAGUAUUCAAAUUGUAAUAUAUAAUUUCAUAGGACAUUUUUUUUCUUAACCGAGGGAAGGUGACAUUCAUGGAGAUGGAAUUGGGAGGAACCCAAUCUCUGUUCCUGUUCCUUCACAAGAAAGAUGGUAAAGACGGCAAGCCAGUGGAAGGAGAGGCCAGGACUCUAACUAGAAUGGCCAUAAAUGAAAUCCCUAUGUUCUAUAGCUUUUAGGAUGCUUACCAGAUUUUAUAAACACAAGUGUUUGAAAAAUGAUGUUUAAGCUGGGCAUAGUGGCACACACCUUUACUCCCAGCUUUUGGGAGGCAGAGGCAGGUAUUCAAGGCAUUCAAGGCCAGCCUGGUCUACAGAGCAAGUUCUAGGACAGCCAGGGCUACACAGAGAAACCCUGUCUUGAAAAAAAAAAACAAAGAGGUUUUAAAGUAGCAAUAGAAUGAAACCUAUUUUUCAAUUACAGUAUAGCAAAACCAAAAAUUAAAAAUGACAAUGGCAAAAAUAAAACUGAAAAUGGCUAAGAAGGGGAAACCUAAUGCAAACUACCAUAACAAUUUCAUAAUCAAGAAAAUUAUGUAUAAAAAUUAUAGACUUUGAUCAAAGCUAUGUUUAAGAGAAAACCCAUAAACUCAAGUGUUCUUAUUAUUACAUUAAAAAUAAAUAAAGUACAACAUGUCA